rnacentral:tRNA from 1 species
GAAAUAUGAUAUAUUCAAGAAUAGGCUUCUAACUUAUCCCUUAAGCGAUGAAAUUUCGUUUAUAUUUCU